AUUCCAGCUCCAAUAGCGUAUACUAAAGUUGUUGCAGUUAAAAAGCUCGUAGUUGAAUUUCUGGGUGUGAUAGGCGGUCCGUGUGCAUAACAUGUGUACCUCCCUCUCAUGCCCAUCCUCGAAGUGAAUAUGCAUUGCCUUAACUGUGUCGUGUAUAGGACCUUCGUCAUUUACUGUGAGCAAAAUAGAGUGUUCAAAGCAGGCUUAUGCCGUUGAAUAUAUUAGCAUGGAAUAAUAAGAUAUGACUUCUGUCUAUUUUGUUGGUUUGCAUUCGGAAGUAAUGAUUAAUAGGGAUAGUUGGGGGUUUUCGUAUUCAAUUGUCAGAGGUGAAAUUCUUGGAUUUAUGGAGGACGAACUACUGCGAAAGCAUCAACCAAGGAUGUUUUCAUCG
rnacentral:rRNA from 1 species